AGCCCAGGGCUGUGGGCCGGGCCUGGGGCCGCCUCUGCUUACCUUUCAGCUGCUUUUUUUUUUUCUCCUUCCCCCCUUUUCCCUCGGCCGGGCUGACAGAUCAGAGUGAGAGGCGCUGGCAAUGGACUAGGAAGCUCGGCUGCCGCUGCUACUGCUCCCCCCUGGGCUCCGGCGAGAGCCUUUCCCUGUCAAGCAAGAGGGCCAAGAAGGCAGGGCUGCCGGGGCUGCACAAGAAGAGGCAGCAGCCUCCUACAGCACCACUACAGGCACUGCGAGGACAUAACACCAGAGAGCCGCUCCUCUGCCCUCCGAAACGACAACUUUCCUACCAUCUUGGAGGCAGAGGAAAGGGGGGCCGGGGGGAAAAGUGCACCCGCUCCCGAUAAAGUACAAAUUUCUACUUCUCGUCUCUGGAAAAAAGUCCACACCGGCCGUCUACACCGGCGCCUGGGCGAAAAAGCAGGGAAGAAACUGGGGGUGCUUGAGAAACGUUUUCAUUUGCACCACGGGGAAAAAAUGUUUCUGCAUCUUCUGAUGGAAAGAAAUCUUUACAAGACACAGGUUUUCCGAUCCAAGUUCUGUGUCUGGUGGUCAGUUUAUAAAUUUGUACUUCAGGAGACUUCAUAG
rnacentral:lncRNA from 1 species